CGCGUUUUUCGCCCAGGCGGAGCUCGACCGCCGCUGCAAGUCCUGAAGCAGUUCAUCGAUCAGCACCGGGACCGCUUCGGGGUCGAGCCGAUCUGCAGGGUGCUGCAGAUCGCUCCG
rnacentral:ncRNA from 1 species